rnacentral:rRNA from 1 species
UACGUAGGGUGCAAGCGUUGUCCGGAAUUAUUGGGCGUAAAGAGCUCGUAGGCGGUCUGUCGCGUCUGCUGUGAAAACUCGGGGCUUAACCCCGAGCCUGCUUCCGAUACGGGCAGACUAGAGGUAGGCAGGGGAGAGCGGAACUCCUGGUGUAGCGGUGGAAUGCGCAGAUAUCUGGAGGAACACCGGUGGCGAAGGCGGCAUCCUGGACCGACACUGACGCUGAGGAGCGAAAGCCAGGGGAGCAAACGGG